rnacentral:rRNA from 1 species
UACGAAGGGGGCUAGCGUUGUUCGGAAUUACUGGGCGUAAAGCGCACGUAGGCGGCUAUUUAAGUCAGGGGUGAAAUCCCGGGGCUCAACCCCGGAACUGCCUUUGAUACUGGGUAUCUCGAGUCCGAGAGAGGUGAGUGGAAUUCCGAGUGUAGAGGUGAAAUUCGUAGAUAUUCGGAGGAACACCAGUGGCGAAGGCGGCUCACUGGCUCGGUACUGACGCUGAGGUGCGAAAGCGUGGGGAGAAAACAGG